GAUGAACGCUAGCGGGAGGCUUAACACAUGCAAGUCGAAGGGCAGCAUUAUCGCUUGCGAUAGAUGGCGACUGGCGAACGGGUGCGUAACGCGUAUGCAACCUACCCUCAACUGGAGAAUAGCCCAGAGAAAUUUGGAUUAAUACUCCAUAGUAUUACAGAUUCGCAUGUUUCUGUAAUUAAAGUUUUAAUGGUUGAGGAUGGGCAUGCGUGACAUUAGUUUGUUGGUGAGGUAAUGGCUCACCAAGACUACGAUGUCUAGGGGUUCUGAGAGGAUGAUCCCCCACACUGGUACUGAGACACGGACCAGACUCCUACGGGAGGCAGCAGUGAGGAAUAUUGGACAAUGGAGGCAACUCUGAUCCAGCCAUCCCGCGUGCAGGAAGACGGCCCUAUGGGUUGUAAACUGCUUUUUAUACAGGAAUAAACCCCUCUACGUGUAGAGGGCUGAAGGUACUGUAAGAAUAAGCACCGGCUAACU
rnacentral:rRNA from 1 species